rnacentral:misc_RNA from 1 species
AAAGAAAAAAAAGAAAAAAAGCUUUUCUUAAUAAUGCACGACCAUAACAAAUUUAUUAUCCGUAAAACCAGACUUGAAACACCAUUAAGAAUCAGAUACCCAAGAAGACAGGCAAAAGAAUGCAAACGUUCCACUGAAUUAUUAAUUUUCUAUCAUCUACACUUAAUAGUGGUUGGAAUUCUGAUGCAUUGCCAUUAGACAAAGAUGAAUACUAUGAAAAAUGGAUGAAAUAUCAUUUUUUAAAAUAAAAUUUGAAAAUGAAAUGGAAAAUUACAACCAAGAAAGCAGGAAGAUGAUUAAGUUCAAACAUCAAAGCAAUAAGAACUACGUGGCCUUACAGCGAAAGAACUGAAAUUGGUUAUGGAUGACUAAGGCUGGUGGCCAGCGCUCUUGAUUCGCGACAGGCAGUAGCCGGCGAGACACAGGGAGGUGGCGAUUUUCCGAAUGGGAACAGAGAAAUCGAAAGAGAGAGAUGGUUUUGGAAAAUCAAAAAAUUAGGGUUUUGGGGUCUGGC